CCAUUUCACUUGAAAAACCGCUUCCCGUACGAUCUCCGAAGUUAAGCAACGCUGCUCUUGGUCAGUACCUAGAACGGUGACACCUUGGGAAUAACAGACGUUGUAA